CUCUGUUUUAUCUCACGCAACCAGAUUCAAAGCCGAGCUGCCUUGAGAACAUCAUAAAAGAUAAAUCAGUAAAGAAACCCCUGAGAGACCAAGAACUUGUGUGAAUUUCCAGAAAACUGCAAAGUUAGCAGCCUGGCCAAGCCUCACGUGUCUCAUUUGCAAAGAGAGAUAUCUGUGAAAAGGUUUGGCUAUACUGAAGGUCUAAUAGGUACUAGAGUCUACAGUAUGCCAUAAGAAGACAAGUAAUCA